rnacentral:rRNA from 1 species
CAGGGGGUGCAAACGUUGCUCGGAAUUAUUGGGCGUAAAGCGCGCGUAGGCGGCCACUUAAGUCGGAUGUGAAAGCCCCUGGCUCAACUGGGGAAGUGCACCCGAAACUGAAUGGCUUGAAUGCAAAAGAGGGUCGCGGAAUUCCCGGUGUAGAGGUGAAAUUCGUAGAUAUCGGGAGGAACACCGGUGGCGAAGGCGGCGACCUGGGUUGACAUUGACGCUGAGGCGCGAAAGCGUGGGGAGCAAACAGGAUUAGAUACCCUGGUAGUCCACGCCGUAAACGAUGGGUGCUAGAUGUUUCUGGUAUUGACCCCGAAGGCGUCGUAGCUAACGCGUUAAGCACCCCGCCUGGGAAGUACGGCCGCAAGGCUA